rnacentral:lncRNA from 10 species
GAAUAGCUUCCAUUUUCAUUUCAGUGUCCAAGAUCACACAGUAAAAAGCAUAAUUCUAAGGAUUUGUGCUAGACUUUGGAGAUAUGAAGAUGAUUGAAUCAAGGUCUUUAUCUUUAACUGAGAUGUUCAUAAUAAUAUCACAGAAAAGAAGACAUAUAAAGAUCGUAUACAAAUAAAUACAAUACAAUGUGGUAAAAGAUCUCAGCCUCCAUAACUUUAAAAAUGGUAUAAAUUAUAUCGUUUAAAAAUUGCAAGAAGAAAACUGUUGCAAACAUUUGCAGUCACAUGACCUGAAAGGACCUUUGAAGAUACAACUUUUGGAAUCUUAGUCUCCAUUUUGAAUAUAUACUUUUGCUGUUAUAACCAGUAGAAGAGAAUUUCCAGCAACUUAUACGUUAUUAUUUUUCCAGGUGACUGAGCAUUGAAAGAACUUUACUCAUAAAUGGGUUGUCAACACUAGCAUGGAGUGUCUUAGGCAGCAGUAAGUUCACCAUUCUUGGGUAUUUAAAAAGAAGAUGGAUGAACAUCUGAAAGGAAUCCCGUAAUGAGGUUUUGGCAUUGCUCAACAGAUUAACUUUUAACACUCUUCCAUCUUUGAUCUUUUUUACAUUCCAACUUCAACGUAAAACUUUCUUGAAGCCAAGAAGUAUUAAUUUUAAAAUGGAAAAAACACCAUAUUUAUUUGUGUUACUUAUUUAUAUCACAUGAAUAUACUUUCAGAUAUGUGGAUAUUCAAUACUGUCUACAGUUUGUAACAUAGUAAAGAGGUGUCAUUUUUAAUAAGUCAAAUGUUUUGCUUAAAAGUAUAUGUAAUUUUUUCUAUGAAAUGUUGGUAAAAUGUUGAUCUCACAAUAGAUUUAAUAUUUUAAUGUCAGGUUUCAAAUGAAUUUGAUUUUUAAGAAAUAUAUUUUCACCUUUACUUUAAUAUAGUUAUUUUCUUCUUUUAUGUAAUUAGAAGUAGAACUAUCCAAGAACAUUUAAAAUUAAAUUAGGGAGUUUUUCAACUUGACUGUUAAAUAUUACUGCUACCUCUCCACUGUACUUAGACCUGCACCUUGUGUUAAGAAAAACAUUUUAACAAAUUUAAAAAAUAAAGAAGUGAUCUUGUCGACUUCACCAUACAUCUUUAUGUUUUAUGAUAUAUGAGUACAGGAACCACUCAUUUUUUUUUCAAUGAAGCAUUAAUUUUCAAUGAAAUCUCUAAGAGCAAAUGGCUAUUACGGUCAUUAAGAAAAGAAAUAUACAGAAGGGGAACAUCACA